rnacentral:rRNA from 1 species
UACGUAGGGUGCAAGCGUUGUCCGGAAUUAUUGGGCGUAAAGAGCUCGUAGGCGGUUUGUCGCGUCUGCUGUGAAAACUCGGGGCUUAACUCCGGGCCUGCAGUGGGUACGGGCAGACUAGAGUGCGGUAGGGGAGACUGGAAUUCCUGGUGUAGCGGUGAAAUGCGCAGAUAUCAGGAGGAACACCGGUGGCGAAGGCGGGUCUCUGGGCCGUAACUGACGCUGAGGAGCGAAGGCGUGGGGAGCGAACAGG